rnacentral:rRNA from 1 species
UGAGGAAUAUUGGUCAAUGGGCGAGAGCCUGAACCAGCCAUCCCGCGUGCAGGAAGAAGGCCCUAUGGGUUGUAAACUGCUUUUGUGCAUGAAGAACACCCCGCUCGAGAGCGGGGCUGACGGUAAUGCGUGAAUAAGCACCGGCUAACUCCGUGCCAGCAGCCGCGGUAAUACGGAGGGUGCAAGCGUUAUCCGGAUUUAUUGGGUUUAAAGGGUGCGUAGGCGGCCUUUUAAGUCAGUGGUGAAAACCUGCGGCUCAACCGUAGGCGUGCCAUUGAAACUGAAGGGCUUGAGUUAUCAUGAGGCAGGCGGAAUGUGUAGUGUAGCGGUGAAAUGCUUAGAUAUUACACAGAACACCGAUUGCGUAGGCAGCUUGCUAAAGGUACACUGACGCUGAUGCACGAAAGCGUGGGGAUCGAACA